UACGUAGGGUGCGAGCGUUGUCCGGAACUAUUGGGCGUAAAGAGCUCGUAGGCGGUUUGUCACGUCUGCUGUGAAAUCCCGAGGCUCAACCUCGGGCCUGCAGUGGGUACGGGCAGACUGGAGUGCGGUAGGGGAGAAUGGAAUUCCUGGUGUAGCGGUGGAAUGCGCAGAUAUCAGGAGGAACACCGAUGGCGAAGGCAGUUCUCUGGGCCGUAACUGACGCUGAGGAGCGAAAGCGUGGGGAGCGAACAGG
rnacentral:rRNA from 1 species